CUCAGCUGUAUUUCCGGAACUGGAGCAAGAAUCAGUGUUGAGAGGGAUUGGUAGCCGACUUCCCGUGACUGACCAGCCUCUCAUUAGCUCUGCCUGACUGCAGACCCUCCAGCCCUGACAAGUCCUCCAGCAGCUCGUUGGCCUGAGCACCCACUCCUGCCUCUGCUAAGAAAACCAACCACCAGGACUCCCAGAUAGUAUCAAGAAACUGAAACUCACCAGAUCACUGCCUCUGGACCAUGAGAUGUCAGAUCCCUCACCUGUCACGAUUGCCUAACUGACCACCUGCUUCCUGUUGACCAUCUCCUCUUCCCUACCCUCCUUAGUUCUUGUUUUCCCAUACAUUGUUACAUUUCUUCCUUGCUCUAUAAACCUCUAAUUACAGUCAGUUGGGGAGAUGGAUGUGGGACUGAUCUCCCAUCUCCUUGGCUGCAGCACCCAAUUAAACCUUCUUUCCUGGCAAUACUCAUUGUCUCAGUGAUUGGCUUUCUGUGUGGUGAGCAGCAGGACGUAGGCCAAACCCCUGGUAUUUCAGUAACAUUUCCUUCUUGGAACACAGUCCCAUAUUGUAAGGAACCCAACCCACAUGGAGAGGCCAGGUGGAAGAGAGUGGAGGCACUCAGUCUAUGGUCCCAGCUUAGUUCCCAACUAACAGCCAGCAUCAACCACCAGCCAUGUAAGCUCUCCACUGUGGACAUUCAGCUCAGCCAAGGCCCCACCCAGUUGACUAGAGUCCCACCUGACAUCACAUGCAAAAGAGCUACCCAGGUGAGCCAAGUCAGCCUAUACAGUUAGAAAGAAAAUAAAAUGAUUGUUGUUUCUAAGAUGCUAAGUUUUGAGGUGGUUUGUUUUUGUGCAACAUAUGAUUGAAACAGACCUUCAAUAAAUGUCUUGGCUUCUAGUGAAGACUUUUUUUGUCAUCAUUUAUGACCUAAUAUGUUAGGAAUCCAGAAGGCAG
rnacentral:lncRNA from 10 species